UCUUCUCAAAUAGAGGCUUUCACCUGCGCAAAUGUGGCAUUUCCAUGGAAACUAUACCCAUGGAAAUGCCACAUUUCUGCAGGUGAAAGCCGUUACUUGAAAAGAGC